UACGAAGGGGGCUAGCGUUGCUCGGAAUCACUGGGCGUAAAGCGCACGUAGGCGGCUUCUUAAGUCAGGGGUGAAAUCCUGGAGCUCAACUCCAGAACUGCCUUUGAUACUGAGGAGCUUGAGUCCGGGAGAGGUGAGUGGAACUGCGAGUGUAGAGGUGAAAUUCGUAGAUAUUCGCAAGGACACCAGUGGCGAAGGCGGCUCACUGGCCCGGUACUGACGCUGAGGCACGAAAGCGUGGGGAGCAAACAGG
rnacentral:rRNA from 1 species